rnacentral:rRNA from 1 species
GACGGAGGGUGCAAGCGUUGCUCGGAAUUAUUGGGCGUAAAGGGUGCGUAGGCGGCUUUUUAAGUCUGACGUGGAAGCCCAAGGCUUAGCCUUGGAAGUGCGCCAGAAACUGGAAAGCUAGAGUACCGGAGGGGAGAGUGGAAUUCCUGGUGUAGCGGUGAAAUGCGUAGAUAUCAGGAGGAAUACCGGUGGCGAAAGCGACUCUCUGGACGGUAACUGACGCUGAGGCACGAAAGCGUGGGUAGCAAAC